rnacentral:tRNA from 1 species
GGCUGGGUGGCUCAGUCGGUAGAGCAUCGGAACGAUAUUCCGAGGCUCCGGGUUCGAGUCCCGGUCUGGCUG